rnacentral:misc_RNA from 1 species
UUUUUUUUUUAUUUUUUAUUUUAUGUUUGUUUUCUCCUGUCUGAACUCUGGAUAUAUGAAGCAUUUUUCUAUAAUUUUUGCUCACUGCAAUGAAAAGCUUGCCUCUUGGAACGUCUGCGUGUACGACUGUAUCCCCAAAUAAUAUUAUUUUGGAUGCAACUAUUAUAAGCUUGACCUUAUAUGAUAAUCGUUAAAUCACAUUUACAUCUAGAUUUAUGUAUUUAUUAUACUCUACAUGCUUUAAUCUAUUCUGCAUAAAUAUUUUAUAUUAGAUGCACUGUAUUAUUUUUAAUUGUUGUGUUAAUGUUAGGUUCAAAAAGUUUCCAGUUGUCUAGACAUUGCCUUGAUCAUCAAUUACUCAUCAUAUAAUGUUAAUCAUCUUUGCAUUAUUCCAAUCAAAUCUACCCUUUUCAGUGACUUCCUUCUUGGGAUUCAUCUGGUAUAUUGUUUGCUUUUAAUUGCUGAAAUAAUUGUGUGAGGAAACUUGAGAAAAUGGUUCUUUUAAUAGCCUAAUGUCAUUUACAUGUCAAUAUAACAG